CAGCCGCCACGGUAAUACGUAGGUGGCAAGCGUUGUCCGGAAUUAUUGGGCGUAAAGGGCUCGCAGGCGGUUUCUUAAGUCUGAUGUGAAAGCCCCCGGCUCAACCGGGGAGGGUCAUUGGAAACUGGGAAACUUGAGUGCAGAAGAGGAGAGUGGAAUUCCACGUGUAGCGGUGAAAUGCGUAGAGAUGUGGAGGAACACCAGUGGCGAAGACGACUCUCUGGUCUGUAACUGACGCUGAGGAGCGAAAGCGUGGGGAGCGAACAGGAUUAGAUACCCCCGUAGUCCCUGUCUCUUAUAA
rnacentral:rRNA from 1 species